AGAACACUGGCAUGUGAGCUGCUGUACCUGACAUGACCAUCAGAUGAGCUCUGGCCAACACAAUGCUGCAGAACCCCUCCUUUCAAGCUUUCUGUGGGAGAAGCCAAAAGCAGCACCUGGAUUCCUACCCCACACCUCCCCUGACUCAUGGGAGACAAAAGACAGUGUCAAGAAUAAUGGAAUGGACGUGGCAAGCAGAACCAGCAGCGCUCUUAUCAGCUGGGGGAGGCAGAGUAGAUCUGAGGAGUGGAACAGACCAGGUACCAG
rnacentral:lncRNA from 1 species